CAAUAUGAUAUGUGUUGGGUCUCGUCCUAUCGUACUCCUCUUCGCGCGUACUAGAUGCUGUACCUCGUUUAAUCACCGAUCAAUUGGAACCAGAUCAACACUUAAUAACUCCUUUAUUAGUAACUUGACAGUGACGAUACGAUAACGAUAGCAGAAUUUAUGGCUCAAGGCGUCCCGAAACAUGGCGCACCCAUCUUUUAUACAGACGAGAGUUGUGAGAAGAAGAACACGUCAGCCUCCAGGCUUACCGCCAGUCACACAUAACGCAAAUACAGAUACAAUGUCUGGGUAUUGAGCAUAGUUCACCAUUGGGCAUAGUCCACACACAAUGCCAGCAGCCACGCAUCUUAAUUAGGAAACGGCUAGGAAAUUGUGACAGUUUCCGUUGUCAGGCAAUAUCGGUACGUGGACUCACACAAUAUCAUUAAACCAGUAAACAUACAACAUCGUUAAACAUGGAAUUACAACGAUAACAUUAUUAUCGCCCGCUUUCACACGUCGAUCACUACAGAGGUAUUCAAUACUGUGUGAAACGUGGUGCAUCGUGUAUGAUGUUAAAAACUUCGCGGUUGUCCUUUAUUGAUAUUUCAAAUUACCUGGCGCCGUGUUCUAGCUAUAAAAGUUUUUCUAAAAGCGUUCAAUGUUAAAGAAGCGAAAGGUUUUUUCCCUUAUGAGUAUUUGGACAACUUUGAAAAAUUGAGUGAGAAACAGUUACAACCGCGAUCAGCGUUCUAUAGCGCACUUAAAAAAGAGAAUAUUACGGAGGAGGAUUAUCAAUCCUGCGUCGACGCCUGGAAAGCCAAUAACGUGCAAACAACGAAAGACUUAUCUCGAUACGGAGCCCAUGGUCACUGCACUUUCGCGACAACUGGCUUAUUAUAGGGAAAACCAUGGUGUCUGUUUAUUAAGCGAUGGAAUUUCAGCUGCAGGUUUGUCCUUUAAAAUUCUUUUCAAUCAAGUCUUCUUUGGUAGUUUCUUUUCGUUGGUUGGAUGAAAAAAAACGCGGAUCUUUUUGAGAAGUUUCAGAAAAAUAUCACCGGCGGUUCAAGCAACCUAUAA